GAUGAACGCUGGCGGCGUGCCUAAUACAUGCAAGUCGAGCGAACAGACGAGGUGCUUGCUCCACUGACGUUAGCGGCGGACGGGUGAGUAACACGUGGAGAACCUACCUAUAAGACUGGGAUAACUUCGGGAAACCGGAGCUAAUACCGCAUAAUAUAUUGAACCGCAUGGUUCAAUAGUGAAAGACGCUUUUGCUGUCACUUAUAGAUGUAUCCGGGCCGCAUUAGCUAGUUGGUAAGGUAACGCCUUACCAAGGCAACGAUGCGUAGCCGACCUGGGAGGGUGAUCGGCCACAUUGGAACUAAGACACGGUCCAGACUCCUACGGGAGGCAGCAGAUGGGAAUCUUGCGCAAUGGGAGAAAUCCUGACGGAGCAAGGCCGCGUGAGUGAUGAAGGUCUUCGAUUCGUAAAACUCUGUUAUUAGGGAAGAACAAAUGUGUAGUUGAGUAUGCACGUAUUGACGUUACCUAAUCAGAAAGCCACGGCUAACUACGUG
rnacentral:rRNA from 1 species